rnacentral:rRNA from 1 species
GUCGCUUGGGGAUAGGCCCAUAGCCUAUCAGCUAGUUGGUGAGGUCAAUGCUCACCAAGGCUUACGGGUAGCUGGUCUGAGAGGAUGGUCAGCCACACUGGGACUGAGACACUGCCCAGACUCCUACGGGAGGCUGCAGUCGAGAAUCAUUGUCAAUGCACGAAAGUGUGAACAUGCGACGCCGCGUGGAGGAAGACGGCCUUCGGGUUGUAAACUCCUGUCAGCAGGGAGGAAAGAUGGUUUUGCUAAUAUCAGAAUCAUUUGACAGUACCUGCAGAGGAAGUCACGGCUAACUCUGUGCCAGCAGCCGCGGUAAUACAGAGGUGGCGAACGUUGUUCGGAUUUACUGGGCGUAAAGGGUCCGCAGGCGGAUCGGUGUGUCGGAUGUGAAAGCUCACAGCUCAACUGUGGAAUUGCAUUCGAAGCUGCCGGUCUAGAGUACUGGAGGGGAGAAGGGAACACUUGGUGUAGCGGUGAAAUGCGUAGAUAUCAAGUGGAACACCGGUGGCGAAGGCGCUUCUCUGGACAGAUACUGACGCUCAUGGACGAAAGCUUGGGUAGCGAAAGGGAUUAGAUACCCCUGUAGUCCAAGCCGUAAA